GCCCAAGUGGCGGAAUGGUAGACGCAGGGGAUUCAAAAUCCCCCGGUAGUGAUACCGUGCCGGUUCGAGUCCGGCCUUGGGUA
rfam:Ruegeria sp. ANG-R contig_1, whole genome shotgun sequence.